rnacentral:rRNA from 1 species
GGGCCCGCACAAGCGGUGGAGCAUGUGGUUUAAUUCGAUGAUACGCGAGGAACCUUACCAGGGCUUAAAUGUAGAACGACCGAUUUGGAAACAAGUCUUCUCUUUGAGCGGUCUACAAGGUGCUGCAUGGUUGUCGUCAGCUCGUGCCGUGAGGUGUCGGGUUAAGUCCCUUAACGAGCGCAACCCCUAUCUCUAGUUGUCAGCGGAUAAUGCCGGGGACUCUAGAGAAACUGCCCGUGCAAACGGUGAGGAAGGUGGGGAUGACGUCAAAUCAUCACGGCCCUUACGUCCUGGGCUACACACGUGCUACAAUGGUCGGUACAGAGGGCAGCUACCACGUGAGUGGAUGCAAAUCUCGAAAGCCGAUCUCAGUUCGGAUUGAAGUCUGCAACUCGCCUACGUG